rnacentral:lncRNA from 1 species
UGACUCAAAUUCAUAGAUGAUCUGAAGGAAAUCUUCAUAUUUGCCAGGGAUAUGCUGGAGAGCUUCUCGUACCUAUAAGGAAUAUUUCACUAGUAAGCAUCCUUCCUCUGGGCCUGCCAUCCUAACUGGCAAGGGCACAGAAGGCAGCUGUGCUCACACGGCUCUAAGAGCUCCCUUCUGAGGCAUUCCUCUGACCCAAGGAGGAACAACACACAGAACAAGCAGCAAGGCACAACUCCUUUUCUCUGAGGGGCAACUGGACAGCCUUUAAACCUUCAAAAACUAGGGAUUGAUUUUCACAGCUUCUGACUUCAGCACUGCAUCAACCAGAAAAAGCCUACCGGUUGGAAUAAAGAGUCCACCAUCCUCCAUCUCUUCCUCAGCUUGGCGAACCAGAGGUCCGAGUGGCUUUUCUUGAGGAAAGGCAGGACCAUCUGGCUGGAUAGACUUCCUAGGCUGGGUACUUGGUUUUGCAGAUUGACUGCCAGAUGACAGCAAAGGCACCUCCCCUUCGGAAUGCAUCUGAAGUUCUCCUAGAAGAAUCACAAACACUGCUGCAUGCUCUGCCCAUAAUUAAUCAUAUGCUACUGCAAAAGUAGCAUCUUUUCCUGAGACCUUUAUGAUAGACACUUUCAUGAAGCAUAUUAGGCACACGGGUUUUCCCUUCUCAUCAAGACGGGCUCCCAAAACAAAGAAUAAAAUGAAAACUCAGAUCCAAAUUAUUUAUCUCUAGUUCACAGAAUGAAUCAUACAAAACUGCUAUGACACCUUCUAUUCAAAUAUGCUUGGAACUCUGUGUUUUCCUAAGAAAAUCAGACCAUGGGUGAAGAUUUAGUUCAAUGGCAGGAGUGUCAGCCUAGUAUAUAUGACACCCUGGGCUCAGUUCACAGCAUCAAGAAAACAAAAAUCAGAAUAUAGGGUAGAGGGUAUGAGAGGACAAGGGGACAGUUGGAGCUGACCAUUAACACUACAUUUCACCAACUAUAAAUGAUNNAAAAAGUCCAAAGAAGGGGCUGGAGAGGUUAAUUCAGGGGUUAAGAACUCCGGCUGUUAUUGUAAAGCUCCCAAGUUCAGUUCCCAGCACCCAUAUUGCAGCUCAUAAGCACCUGUAACUCCAGUUCCAACUGAUCUUUUCUGACCUCUAUUGACAUAGGGUAUGCAUCUGGUGUGAAGACAAACACUGUGUGGUUUAAAUGAGAAUGAACCCCACAGGCUCAUACAUACAUUUGCAUACUUAGUCCCUAAUGGGUGAACUGUCUGAGAAAGAUUCAAAGGAUUAGGCCUUGUGGGAGUGGGUGUGGAAUUCUUGGAGGCAGAGUGUCACUGGGGUGGGCUCUGAGGUUUCAUAAAAGCCCAUGCCAGGCCCAGUGGCUCUCUGCCUGCUGCCUUCGGAUCAGAAUGUAUACAGUUCUCAGAUACAGCUAACAAACAAGGCUGCCACACCAUCCACCAUAAUGAACUAACCCUCUGAAACUGUAAGCAAGCCCCCAAUUAAAUACUUCAAGAGCUGCCUUGGUCAUGAUAUCUUUUCACAGCAAUAGAAACCAUAAAGAAGACAUACAUAACUUUUUUUUUAAUUUGUAAAAAGAAAAAAAUGUCUGCAGCAUACUGGCAGACAUCUGUAAUCCUAGCACUGUGGAGGCUGAGGCAGGAUAGGGAGUUUAAGUCUUGGGCUACACAGCAAGGCUAGGCCUC